CUUGUGUUUGGUGAUCCUGUGUGCUAGUGACCUUCUGUGUGCUAGAAGGUCACUAGCACACAGGAUCGCUAAACACAAGCACACAA